UAUUGGUCAAUGGCCUAACGGCUGAACCAGCAACUUGGAGGAAUGUAUAGGGAAAACUGGUAAAAUGUGAUGUACCUAGUAGUAUUAGUAAUAAAUAUAAGAUUAACUAAGUUAAUUAAAAUUCUAAGUAGGUAUAUGAUUAUGACAAUAUCUGCAUAGGUCUUGACCAAGUCACGUGCCAGCAGUCGCGGUAAUACGUGGAAGACAAGUGUUAUUCAUAUUUAUUGGGUUUAAAGGGUACCUAGACAGUUAAUUAAGCAAUAAAUUGUACUGAUUAACUAGAGUUUAAUGUAAGAAGGAUUGAGUACGGUGAGAGUAGAGAUAAAAUUCUUUGAUACCGUUUAGGCACUGGUAAGAGCGAAGGCUACCUUCAAUGUAAAAACUGACGUUAAGGGACGAAGG
rnacentral:rRNA from 1 species